ACUCCUACGGGAGGCAGCAGUGGGGAAUAUUGGACAAUGGGGGCAACCCUGAUCCAGCCAUGCCGCGUGAGUGAUGAAGGCCCUAGGGUUGUAAAGCUCUUUUGUGCGGGAAGAUAAUGACGGUACCGCAAGAAUAAGCCCCGGCUAACUUCGUGCCAGCAGCCGCGGUAAUACGAAGGGGGCUAGCGUUGCUCGGAAUCACUGGGCGUAAAGGGUGCGUAGGCGGGUUUUUAAGUCAGGGGUGAAAUCCUGGAGCUCAACUCCAGAACUGCCUUUGAUACUGAAGAUCUUGAGUCCGGGAGAGGUGAGUGGAACUGCGAGUGUAGAGGUGAAAUUCGUAGAUAUUCGCAAGAACACCAGUGGCGAAGGCGGCUCACUGGCCCGGUACUGACGCUGAGGCACGAAAGCGUGGGGAGCAAACAGGAUUAGAUA
rnacentral:rRNA from 1 species